rnacentral:rRNA from 1 species
GACGAACGCUGGCGGCGUGCUUAACACAUGCAAGUCGAGCGGUAAGGCCUUUCGGGGUACACGAGCGGCGAACGGGUGCGUGACACGUGGGUGAUCGGCCCUGCACUUCGGGAUAAGCCUGGGAAACUGGGUCUAAUACCGGAUCUGGCCUCCUAUCGCAUGGUGGGUGGUGGAAAGAGUUAUCGGUGCAGGAUGGGCACGCGGCCUAUCAGCUUGUUGGUGGGGUAAUGGCCUACCAAGGCGACGACGGGUAGCCGACCUGAGAGGGUGACCGGCCACACUGGGACUGAGACACGGCCCAGACUCCUACGGGAGGCAGCAGUGGGGAAUAUUGCACAAUGGGCGAAAGCCUGAUGCAGCGACGCCGCGUGAGGGAUGACGGCCUUCGGGUUGUAAACCUCUUUCAGCAGGGACGAAGCGCAAGUGACGGUACCUGCAGAAGAAGCACCGGCUAACUACGUG